CUCCACUACAAUAAAAAGGUCAUCUAAAGUUGAUCAUUUAUGAGGGCGGCCAAAACGUUCAAUAUCAUUUCAAGUGAAAAUGUUCAUUUUAAAAGAAAAGGGUAAGGAUAGCAAUUUACUUUAGAGUUUGGUAAGUAGGUUCUGUAGUCUUGCCAACUCCUAUGGUCAUUGUAACAUCAAACACAAGGCUGUACAGCAAAAACAGAUCUGGGACUAGGCUGGGGUAAUAGAUGGCAGGGGGUGGGGUUAAAGGUCCGUUCUAAAAGUAUCCAGUCAGCAGGUCUUCUGUCAGGAGACAGCCAUUCAGAACGGAGCCAGCUGGCGUGGUUUGGGAUGCCAGAGGAAACGACAGGCAGGUUACAGGAUGGUCCUCCCUCCCCUAGUGUCCAGUUCUGCAGCCAGGUGGAGGUGUGUGGGUAUGGGGGAAGGAGAACAGCAUGGCUUCUGUCACUCAGACCAGACCGUGUGUGUGGGUCUGGCAGGCCCCGCUAGGACUAAGUGGCAGAUGGCUGCUCCAGGAUAAUGAACCUGUGACAUCUGAAGCGCCUUAGGGCCAACCCGCCAAUGGCCCGACAGGCUAACAAACUCACCUGGAUCCUCCGGGGAACCAGUCCAUUCUUCUCCUCUCUUCUUCCCCCUCUCCUCUCCACCUCCUCUCCUCUCCUCUCCCUCCUCCCACUCCACCAGCUAAAAUAACUUAAGAACUAGAAGCAGAAGUGAAUUGAUUCUCCUCCACACGCAGGAUAAGAAGUUAAAGGUCUGGAGGAUAAAAGCAUAGACAGAAUUUAGGUGGGUGUUUUAGUGGAAGAAUAGUGCUGUCUUGGAUUGAAUUUUCUGUCAUUCACUGGAAGAGAGACAAAUCAAUUCUGGCGAUGUCUUUAUUUGUUAAGUGCUGCUGAAUUGGAUUAGGUUAGGUUUUUGUUUUGCGUUGGUUCGUGCUAUAUUCGAAGUUCAGCUGCCUGCCGUAACCAACAGGCAGCAUAUAAACAAAUUCAGGUUCAUGUUUACAGCAAGUUAUAAAACAUGUUAACUGCAGGCUUUAAAGGGACAUCCAGCAGUGGGCUACAUUAAUAAUAUGUACCCAUUUGAUUCUUGAAGAAUAGAACUUGCCUCAUGAGCUUAGUUUAAAUGUCGCACCCCAUCAGAACCCAAUAUAUAAGCUUAUUUUACUCCAAUGUUGUAAACAAAGUAAAUGUAAACAAACUCAAAAUAUGGUCUUGCUUUAAUGGCCAUGUACUAUCUUAAUUUCCACCCAGCACAGCCAGAAGAGGCCUGGCCACCCUUCGGAGCCUAGUUCCUCUCGGCUUUUCCUAGGUUCCUACCGUUCUAGAGUUUUUUUCUAGCCACUCUAGCCACUCUAGCCACACGCUUCUACAUCUACAUUGCUUGCUCUUUGGGGGGUUAGGCUGGAUAUCUGUAGAAGCACUUUGUGACAACUGCUGAUGUAAAAAGGGCUUUAUAAAAUAAAUGUGAUUGAUGGAUUAAAGCCCCCAUGCAGUCUUUGUAAUGCUAUUUUUAAAGCAUCACUGUAUGACUGAUAGGAUGGUUUAGAACCCACCCCCUUACCCAGAUGAACAGUCAUUGGUCUAUUAUAAUCAGAUCACAUUGUGAAAAUAAGGAUAAUGCUCUUUUUGUGUAAGAGCUGUUUGAAAAAAUGGCAUUAUUAUUUUCACAAUGUGAUCUGAUUAUAAUAGAUAUCAUUAUUUUCACAAUUUCAGAGUGUAAUUUCGACCUCAUAGCGUGGAAAUAUCCUAAAAGAAAUAACCUUUUUUAACCCUUUUUCUCCCCAAUAUUUGUGGUAUUCAAUUGGUAGUUACAGUCUUGUCUCAUCGUUGCAACUCCCGUACAGACUCGCGAGAGGUGAAGGUCGAGAGCCGUGCGUCCUCCAAAACAUAAUCCAAACCAGCCACACUGCUUCUUGACACAAUGCCCGCUUAA
rnacentral:lncRNA from 13 species